rnacentral:misc_RNA from 1 species
GAUGAAGAACGCAGCGAAAUGCGAUAAGUAAUGCGAAUUGCAGAAUUUCCGUGAGUCAUCGAAUCUUUGAACGCACAUUGCGCCCACUGGUAUUCCGGUGGGCAUGCCUGUUCGAGCGUCAUUUAAACCUUCAAGCUCAGCUUGGUGUUGGGUGACUGUCCGCUUCACCGCGGACUCGCCUCAAAAUUAUUGGCGGCCGGUACAUUGGCUCUCGAGCGCAGCAGAAACGCGUAACUCGAGGUCCUCGUGCUGGCUCCCAGAAGCUAUCUUCACAAUUUUGACCUCGGAUCAGGUAGGGAUACCCGCUGAACUUAAGCAUAUCAAUAAGCGGAGGA